rnacentral:rRNA from 1 species
AACGAACGCUGGCGGCAUGCCUAACACAUGCAAGUCGAACGAGACCUUCGGGUCUAGUGGCGCACGGGUGCGUAACGCGUGGGAACCUGCCCUUAGGUUCGGAAUAACUCCCCGAAAGGGGUGCUAAUACCGGAUAAUGUCUUCGGACCAAAGAUUUAUCGCCUUUGGAUGGGCCCGCGUUGGAUUAGCUAGUUGGUAGGGUAAAAGCCUACCAAGGCGACGAUCCAUAGCUGGUCUGAGAGGAUGAGCAGCCACACUGGGACUGAGACACGGCCCAGACUCCUACGGGAGGGAGCAGUGGGGAAUAUUGGAAAAUGGGCGAAAGCCUGAUCCAGCAAUGCCGCGUGAGUGAUGAAGGCCUUAGGGUUGUAAAGCUCUUUUACCCGGGAUGAUAAUGACAGUACCGGGAGAAUAAGCACCGGCUAACUCCGUG